rnacentral:rRNA from 1 species
GUAGGUGGCAAGCGUUGUCCGGAAUUAUUGGGCGUAAAGCGCGCGCAGGCGGUCUUUUAAGUCUGAUGUGAAAGCCCACGGCUCAACCGUGGAGGGUCAUUGGAAACUGGGGGACUUGAGUACAGAAGAGGAGAGCGGAAUUCCAAGUGUAGCGGUGAAAUGCGUAGAGAUUUGGAGGAACACCAGUGGCGAAGGCGGCUUUCUGGUCUGUAACUGACGCUGAGGCGCGAAAGCGUGGGGAGCAAACAGGGAUUAGAUACCCUGGUAGUCCACGCCGUAAACGAUGAGUGCUAAGUGUUAGGGGGUUUCCCGCCCCUUAGUGCUGCAGCUAACGCAUUAAGCACUCCGCCUGGGGAGUACGGCCGCAAGGCUG